rnacentral:rRNA from 1 species
AUUGAACGCUGGCGGCAGGCCUAACACAUGCAAGUCGAGCGGAAACGAGUUAUCUGAACCUUCGGGGAACGAUAACGGCGUCGAGCGGCGGACGGGUGAGUAAUGCCUAGGAAAUUGCCCUGAUGUGGGGGAUAACCAUUGGAAACGAUGGCUAAUACCGCAUAAUGCCUACGGGCCAAAGAGGGGGACCUUCGGGCCUCUCGCGUCAGGAUAUGCCUAGGUGGGAUUAGCUAGUUGGUGAGGUAAUGGCUCACCAAGGCGACGAUCCCUAGCUGGUCUGAGAGGAUGAUCAGCCACACUGGAACUGAGACACGGUCCAGACUCCUACGGGAGGCAGCAGUGGGGAAUAUUGCACAAUGGGCGCAAGCCUGAUGCAGCCAUGCCGCGUGUGUGAAGAAGGCCUUCGGGUUGUAAAGCACUUUCAGCAGUGAGGAAGGCGUAGUGGUUAAUACCGCUGCGCUUGACGUUAGCUG